rnacentral:rRNA from 1 species
GACGAACGCUGGCGGCGUGCCUAAUACAUGCAAGUUGAGCGAUGAAGAUUGGUGCUUGCCCCAAUUUGAAGAGCAGCGAACGGGUGAGUAACGCGUGGGGAAUCUGCCUUUGAGCGGGGGACAACAUUUGGAAACGAAUGCUAAUACCGCAUAACAACUUUAAACAUAAGUUUUAAGUUUGAAAGAUGCACUUGCAUCACUCAAAGAUGAUCCCGCGUUGUAUUAGCUAGUUGGUGAGGUAAAGGCUCACCAAGGCGAUGAUACAUAGCCGACCUGAGAGGGUGAUCGGCCACAUUGGGACUGAGACACGGCCCAAACGCCUACGGGAGGCAGCAGUAGGGAAUCUUCGGCAAUGGACGAAAGUCUGACCGAGCAACGCCGCGUGAGUGAAGAAGGUUUUCGGAUCGUAAAACUCGGUUGGUAGAGAAGAACGUUGGUGAGAGUGGAAAGCUCAUCAAGUGACGGUAACUACCCAGAAAGGGACGGCUAACUACGUG